rnacentral:rRNA from 1 species
AGAGUUUGAUCCUGGCUCAGGACGAACGCUGGCGGCGUGCCUAAUACAUGCAAGUAGAACGCUGAAGAGAGGAGCUUGCUCUUCUUGGAUGAGUUGCGAACGGGUGAGUAACGCGUAGGUAACCUGCCUUGUAGCGGGGGAUAACUAUUGGAAACGAUAGCUAAUACCGCAUAACAAUGGAUGACCCAUGUCAUUUAUUUGAAAGGGGCAAAUGCUCCACUACAAGAUGGACCUGCGUUGUAUUAGCUAGUAGGUGAGGUAACGGCUCACCUAGGCGACGAUACAUAGCCGACCUGAGAGGGUGAUCGGCCACACUGGGACUGAGACACGGCCCAGACUCCUACGGGAGGCAGCAGUAGGGAAUCUUCGGCAAUGGGGGCAACCCUGACCGAGCAACGCCGCGUGAGUGAAGAAGGUUUUCGGAUCGUAAAGCUCUGUUGUAAGUCAAGAACGAGUGUGAGAGUGGAAAGUUCACACUGUGACGGUAGCUUACCAGAAAGGGACGGCUAACUACGUGCCAGCAGCCGCGGUAAUACGUAGGUCCCGAGCGUUGUCCGGAUUUAUUGGGCGUAAAGCGAGCGCAGGCGGUUUGAUAAGUCUGAAGUUAAAGGCUGUGGCUCAACCAUAGUUCGCUUUGGAAACUGUCAAACUUGAGUGCAGAAGGGGAGAGUGGAAUUCCAUGUGUAGCGGUGAAAUGCGUAGAUAUAUGGAGGAACACCGGUGGCGAAAGCGGCUCUCUGGUCUGUAACUGACGCUGAGGCUCGAAAGCGUGGGGAGCGAACAGGAUUAGAUACCCUGGUAGUCCACGCCGUAAACGAUGAGUGCUAGGUGUUGGAUCCUUUCCGGGAUUCAGUGCCGCAGCUAACGCAUUAAGCACUCCGCCUGGGGAGUACGACCGCAAGGUUGAAACUCAAAGGAAUUGACGGGGGCCCGCACAAGCGGUGGAGCAUGUGGUUUAA